UACAGAGGUCUCGAGCGUUAGGCGGAAUCACUGGGCUUAAAGCGUGUGUAGGCGGAUCGUUAAGUACCUUGUGAAAUCCCACGGCUUAACCGUGGAACUGCUUGGUAUACUGGCGGUCUUGAGCCAGCUAGGGGCUACCGGAACAAAUGGUGGAGCGGUGAAAUGCGUAGAGAUGUGGAGGAACCCCAGUGGCGAAGGCGACUCUCUGGGACGGUACUGACGCUGAGACGCGAAAGCGUGGGGAGCGAACAGG
rnacentral:rRNA from 1 species